rnacentral:rRNA from 1 species
UAGGGAAUCUUCCACAAUGGGCGAAAGCCUGAUGGAGCAACGCCGCGUGUGUGAUGAAGGCUUUAGGGUCGUAAAGCACUGUUGUAUGGGAAGAAAUGCUAGAAUAGGGAAUGAUUCUAGUUCGACGGUACCAUACCAGAAAGGGACGGCUAAAUACGUGCCAGCAGCCGCGGUAAUACGUAUGUCCCGAGCGUUAUCCGGAUUUAUUGGGCGUAAAGCGAGCGCAGACGGUUGAUUAAGUCUGAUGUGAAAGCCCGGAGCUCAACUCCGGAAUGGCAUUGGAAACUGGUUAACUUGAGUGUUGUAGAGGUAAGUGGAACUCCAUGUGUAGCGGUGGAAUGCGUAGAUAUAUGGAAGAACACCAGUGGCGAAGGCGGCCUACUGGACAACAACUGACGUUGAGGCUCGAAAGUGUGGGUAGCAAACAGGAUUAGAUACCCUGGUAGUCCACACCGUAAACGAUGAAUACUAGGUGUUAGGAGGUUUCCGCCUCUUAGUGCCGAAGCUAACGCAUUAAGUAUUCCGCCUGGGGAGUACGACCGCAAGGUUG